CGGUCUAAGCCGAAAGAGGGCCAGGGCUGCUGCCUGGAAACAGACAGUUUAAAUGAUUAAUAAAAUAUGAAUGCAAUAUAAGUUCCCGUGUGUAUUUUUAGAUUAUCCCAGGACAUUUUCUACCUGUCUACUCAUUCCUAAACCCAACGCUGAUGCCCUUUCACCUGCCUCCUGCCCCUAUGCAUCUCUCUGCCGAGGCAUCAGCCUGACUCCCUACCUGUGACCUAGACGUCAGCCGCUGGAACUGCUCUCCACAGCAGCGGAUCUGGAUGAAGACAAAUGGAACCAUGGGGCUAUGGCCAGGUUCCAGACUGCUACUAGUUAGCACAUGCGCUGUGAUGGAAAUUCCAUCGAUCUACACUCUUAAAGGAGUAAGAAACAGAGACAAAAUGUUCUAGGCACAAUUAAGUUGUAUUAUUAUUUGUAAAUAAGAGACGCGUCAACCGCUUACAAAUAUAAUCGUCAGCGGAGUCUCUAACUCGAUACAGGUCAUUCAACAGUAUAUAAGGGAGGAAAAGGGGUGUGGUAAGAUGCUGCCCAUCCGUCUUGUCACAAGAGUUUACCCAAAAGGCGGGCUUUAAUAGUUUAAUGGCUGAUAUCUUGUGUAAAUAGACAGGUGAUCAAAAUGGUUGUUGCACUUGAAUAUGCUUUUGUGUACGUAAACAUACAUUUUAAUCGUUCCACUGAUGGUAUUUUGUACAUUUCCAGUUGAUCAAAAUCAUUAAUGCACAUUAAUAUGCUCUGUGUGUGUGAAUAUCUUUUUAAAAUUAUAAUUGUAGUUGA